AUUAGCUAGUUGGUGGGGUAACGGCUCACCUAGGCGACGAUCCCUAGCUGGUCUGAGAGGAUGACCAGCCACACUGGAACUGAGACACGGUCCAGACUCCUACGGGAGGCAGCAGUGGGGAAUAUUGCACAAUGGGCGCAAGCCUGAUGCAGCCAUGCCGCGUGUAUGAAGAAGGCCUUCGGGUUGUAAAGUACUUUCAGCGGGGAGGAAGGGAGUAAAGUUAAUACCUUUGCUCAUUGACGUUACCCGCAGAAGAAGCACCGGCUAACUCCGUGCCAGCAGCCGCGGUAAUACGGAGGGUGCAAGCGUUAAUCGGAAUUACUGGGCGUAAAGCGCACGCAGGCGGUUUGUUAAGUCAGAUGUGAAAUCCCCGGGCUCAACCUGGGAACUGCAUCUGAUACUGGCAAGCUUGAGUCUCGUAGAGGGGGGUAGAAUUCCAUGUGUAGCGGUGAAAUGCGUAGA
rnacentral:rRNA from 1 species